AUCAUUGAACGCUGGCGGCAUGCCUUACACAUGCAAGCCGAACGGCAGCACGGACUUCGGUCUGGUGGCGAGUGGCGAACUGGUGAGUAAUGUAUCGGAACGUACCUUUCAGUGGGGGAUAACGUAGCGAAAGUUACGCUAAUACCGCAUAUUCUGUGAGCAGGAAAGCAGGGGAUCGCAAGACCUUGCGCUGAUUGAGCGGCCGAUAUCAGAUUAGCUAGUUGGUGGGGUAAAGGCCUACCAAGGCUACGAUCUGUAGCGGGUCUGAGAGGAUGAUCCGCCACACUGGAACUGAGACACGGUCCAGACUCCUACGGGAGGCAGCAGUGGGGAAUUUUGGACAAUGGGGGCAACCCUGAUCCAGCCAUGCCGCGUGAGUGAAGAAGGCCUUCGGGUUGUAAAGCUCUUUCGGCCGGGAAGAAAUAGCAUCAGCUAAUACCUGUGUGGAUGACGGUACCGGAAUAAGAAGCACCGGCUAACUACGUGCCAGCAGCCGCGGUAAUACGUAGGGUGCGAGCGUUAAUCGGAAUUACUGGGCGUAAAGCGUGCGCAGGCGGUUGUGUAAGACAGGCGUGAAAUCCCCGGGCUCAACCUGGGAACUGCGCUUGUGACUGCACAGCUAGAGUACGGCAGAGGGGGGUGGAAUUCCACGUGUAGCAGUGAAAUGCGUAGAGAUGUGGAGGAACACCGAUGGCGAAGGCAGCCCCCUGGGCCGAUACUGACGCUCAUGCACGAAAGCGUGGGUAGCAAACAGGAUUAGAUACCCUGGUAGUCCACGCCCUAAACGAUGUCAACUAGGUGUUGGGUGGGUAAAACCAUUUAGUACCGUAGCUAACGCGUGAAGU
rnacentral:rRNA from 1 species